AGUAACAGAUAGACAGACAGACAGACAGUAACAGAUAGACAGACAGACAGACAAUAACAGACAGACAGACAGACAGACAGACAGUAACAGACAGACAGACAGACAGACAGACAGACAGACAGACAUACAAUAACAGACAGACAGACAGACAGACAGACAGACAGUAACAGACAGACAGACAGACAGACAGACAAUAACAGACAGACAGACAGUAACAGACAGACAGACAGACAGACAAUAACAGACAGACAAUAACAGACAGACAGACAGACAGACAGACAGACAGACAGACAGUAACAGAUAGACAGACAGACAGACAGUAACAGACAGACAGACAGACAGAAGACAGUAACAGACAGACAGACAGACAAUAACAGACAGACAGACAGACAGACAGACAGACAGUAACAGAUAGACAGACAGACAGACAAUAACAGACAGACAGACAGACAGCAGACAGACAGACAGUAACAGAUAGACAGACAGACAGACAGACAGACAGACAGUAACAGAUAGACAGACAGACAGACAGACAGACAGUAACAGACAGACAGACAGACAGACAAUAACAG